ACUCCUCAUCCUUGACCUCCAAACAAAGAAAUAAGUGGAGAUUUCUUCUCCUUUCAUGAAGAAGAGCUUGCUUAGUGUGUAGAGAAGAUUCGGUGGUUGUUUAAUUGCUUCUAGGAGGUGAAACUUCAAGCAAGGGAAAAGAGCCAGUGGAGUAGUGACACCAGAGUUUAUAGCUCGCCAAGUUUGUGAUAGCACAACAUUGGGGUGAAAAGCGUGAAGUGCUUGGUAGAGUUUAUUUUGUUGCUCUCUUUGAGUUGUGUAUGAUACUUAAACAUUAUUGGAAUGUAUUAGAUGGAUCCACUAGGAUGUUAUACUUUCAUGUUAUGUAUUACUUUCCUUCAAUAUUCCUAAAAGUGUCAUUCAGGACUAUGUGAUGUAUGAUGAAU